rnacentral:rRNA from 1 species
UACGGAGGGUGCUAGCGUUGUUCGGAAUUACUGGGCGUAAAGGGCGCGUAGGCGGCCGUUUGCGUCGGAUGUGAAAGCCCGGGGCUCAACCUCGGAACGGCAUUCGAUACGGGACGGCUGGAGACCGGGAGAGGAGAGUGGAAUAGCCAGUGUAGAGGUGAAAUUCGUAGAUAUUGGCUGGAACACCGGUGGCGAAAGCGGCUCUCUGGCCCGGUUCUGACGCUGAGGUGCGAAAGCGUGGGGAGCAAACCGG